AGGUCAAGUGAAGAAGGGCGCACGGUGAAUGCCUUGGCACUGGAAGCCGAUGAAGGACGCGACUAACCGCGAAAGUCUUCGGGGAGCCGUAAGUAGGCUUUGAUCCGGAGGUCUCCGAAUGGGGGAACCCAGCAUGUGCAGACAUGCUAUCCUUAAGUGAAUACAUAGCUUAAGGAGGGAACACGCAGUGAACUGAAACAUCUAAGUAGCUGCAGGAAGAGAAAGAAAUAUCGAUUUCCCAAGUAGCGGCGAGCGAACAGGAAAGAGCCCAAACCGGCAGAUUUAUCUGCCGGGGUUGUAGGACUGAGACAUGGCACUUCAGAGGAUAGCAGAAGCGUUUGGGAAAGCGCGCCAGAGAGGGUGAGAGCCCCGUAAGCGAAAUCCAAAGAAGGCCUAUCAGUAUCCUGAGUAGGGCGGGACACGUGAAAUCCCGUUUGAAUCCGCGAGGACCAUCUCGCAAGGCUAAAUACUAACCAGUGACCGAUAGUGAACCAGUACCGUGAGGGAAAGGUGAAAAGAACCCCGGGAGGGGAGUGAAAGAGAACCUGAAACCGUGUGCCUACAAGUAGUCAGAGCCCGUUAACGGGUAAUGGCGUGCCUUUUGUAGAAUGAACCGGCGAGUUGCGUUAGUCAGCAAGGUUAAGUCAGAAAAGACGGAGCCGUAGCGAAAGCGAGUCUGAAGAGGGCGAGCAGUUGGCUGACGCAGACCCGAAACCAAGUGACCUACCCAUGACCAGGUUGAAGGCGCGGUAAAACGCGCUGGAGGACCGAACCCACGUAAGUUGAAAA
rnacentral:rRNA from 1 species